rnacentral:rRNA from 1 species
GAUGAACGCUGGCGGCGUGCCUAAUACAUGCAAGUCGAGCGAACGGACGAGAAGCUUGCUUUUCUGAUGUUAGCGGCGGACGGGUGAGUAACACGUGGAUAACCUACCUAUAAGACUGGGAUAACUUCGGGAAACCGGAGCUAAUACCGGAUAAUAUUUUGAACCGCAUGGUUCAAAAGUGAAAGACGGUCUUGCUGUCACUUAUAGAUGGAUCCGCGCUGCAUUAGCUAGUUGGUAAGGUAACGGCUUACCAAGGCAACGAUGCAUAGCCGACCUGAGAGGGUGAUCGGCCACACUGGAACUGAGACACGGUCCAGACUCCUACGGGAGGCAGCAGUAGGGAAUCUUCCGCAAUGGGCGAAAGCCUGACGGGGCAACGCAGCGUGAGUGAUGAAGGUCUUCGGAUCGUAAAACUCUGUUAUUAGGGAAGAACAUAUGUGUAAGUAACUGUGCACAUCUUGACGGUACCUAAUCAGAAAGCCACGGCUAACUACGUG